GACGAACCGUCCAAACGUUAUUCGGAAUCACUGGGCUUAAAGGGCGCGUAGGCGGGCCAUCAAGUCAGGGGUGAAAGCCCCCAGCUCAACUGGGGAAGUGCCUCUGAUACUGGUGGUCUCGAGGGGGAUAGGGGCAUGCGGAACUUCCGGUGGAGCGGUGAAAUGCGUAGAUAUCGGAAGGAACGCCGGUGGCGAAAGCGACUGUCUGGGGUGCCUGUGACGCUGAGGCGCGAAAGCCAGGGGAUCAAACGGG
rnacentral:rRNA from 1 species